GGAGCUUGCUCCUGAAUUCAGCGGCGGACGGGUGAGUAAUGCCUAGGAAUCUGCCUGGUAGUGGGGGACAACGUUUCGAAAGGAACGCUAAUACCGCAUACGUCCUACGGGAGAAAGCAGGGGACCUUCGGGCCUUGCGCUAUCAGAUGAGCCUAGGUCGGAUUAGCUAGUUGGUGAGGUAAUGGCUCACCAAGGCGACGAUCCGUAACUGGUCUGAGAGGAUGAUCAGUCACACUGGAACUGAGACACGGUCCAGACUCCUACGGGAGGCAGCAGUGGGGAAUAUUGGACAAUGGGCGAAAGCCUGAUCCAGCCAUGCCGCGUGUGUGAAGAAGGUCUUCGGAUUGUAAAGCACUUUAAGUUGGGAGGAAGGGCAGUAAAUUAAUACUUUGCUGUUUUGACGUUACCGACAGAAUAAGCACCGGCUAACUCUGUGCCAGCAGCCGCGGUAAUACAGAGGGUGCAAGCGUUAAUCGGAAUUACUGGGCGUAAAGCGCGCGUAGGUGGUUUGUUAAGUUGGAUGUGAAAGCCCCGGGCUCAACCUGGGAACUGCAUUCAAAACUGACAAGCUAGAGUAUGGUAGAGGGUGGUGGAAUUUCCUGUGUAGCG
rnacentral:rRNA from 1 species